CAGUGUUUAGGUGCGGCGCGUCCCUGUUUCCCGCGAGGGAGCGGUCGGCGCGCCCCCGAAACCCCACCCUUGAAUACUAGACCAUCUGUUGCUUCGGCGGGCCCGCCCCCGGGCCGCUGGGGGAUCUCCCCUGGCCAGCGCCCGCCGAGGAAUCAUUUGAACCCUAUGUGAAUAUAUGGCUGUCUGAGUGGGCUUAUGAAUCAUUA
rnacentral:misc_RNA from 1 species